UGGAUACUCAGCAUGACUUUUUAUACUUUUUCUAGAUUUGGUGGCUGCAUAUUCUUUGACUGCCUUUCCACGUGACAAAAUUCUGUUAUAGUGUGAUCUGUGCAGAGGGAGGAAGGGGGUCUGCUGGCAAGAAGCCCGAAAACUGAAGUUUCAUUGGCAACAAGUAAAUAUUCCCCUUCCCACAGAUAAAAUGCUUCUGAGCAAUGCUACAUUGCUUGUCGGAGCAUUGAAGGGUGACCUCUGAGUGUCAGAGUCCUAGGUAAGUUGGAAGUCCAGGGGCUAUGCCAAAUCCACCAAGCUCCUGGGCUUUGGGGCAUUUUAUUAAUAAAGAAGAAACUUUUGAAACAAAAGGGGCCUAGCUGCUCUAUAUGCAUGGAGUGAUCACAGAACCAAGGGAGUCGUAGUUAAAUAAGUCUAAAAGAGCUCCCUCAAUAAGAAUAAAGGCACACCCUGAGAAAGCGUGGUGGAGAGUGUGUCCCCUGAAACCUUGGAGCAUAUUACAAUCAAGGAUCUCAGAGCCACCAACACUCAGGCAGUUUAUUUUGAUCCCUUACUAUGGAUAAGUCACGCUCAGAGUUCAAGAAAUUUAGGGAAAAUCCAGCAAAGCCCUUUCAACAAGUAAAAACGGACAUUGAUUUAAAACCCCCAGGUCCAGCGGGGGUUGGGCCCAGUUAGUGCAGUGAGGGUCCUGACCAAGCAGGACCCCUGUGGAUCAGAGGAUGGAGCAGAGUCAGAGGAUGAGCUUCAACUAGCGUCUAUUCGGCUCAUAAAGUGUGAACACUAAUUCCACAGCAGGAGCAAGGAGUCAAGAGUGCAGCCAGGCAGAACUCGGGGCGGCACCAGGAGAGAACCAGGCCCCCAUGUUGUGUGGAUCCGAGUCCACCCGGCUCCCUGCUUCCUGCAUGGCCCCUGGGAGAGCCCCGGGAAUACAGCCGGUGAUCAUCUGCGUAUCUGGGGCAGUUAAAAGAACUGCCCCUGUUUGAUCAAAAGCAGUGAAACUCACGGCUAAAAUCACUGCUAGGUUAAGGGCUGCGAAUAUGCAAAUCAGGAUGAAACCUGUAUCGUAUCGUUGUUCCUCGUGGCAACGCUAGGACCCGUGUGCGGAAGGUGUGAGGGGCAGUUCUGAGGCCUGAGAAACAGGAUCUGUGGUGGAACGUUCGCCUCCGUUAACUUAGAAGAGUGCCGCAACACUCUCGAUUGUGUUUGUUAAAUUAAUAAGAAGUAAGAAGUGAGCAGUAGUAGGCUGCUCAUCAGUUCCAUUCUACAGACAGGCAACCGAGACCCGGGAAGCUGGUGUUACUUUUCCACAAACAACAGAGCCAGGAUUUGAACCAGAGACCAGGUUCUGCCCCCGCAUACCCACCAGGCAGGGAGGGGCUGACCUAGUCCCCCGCCACAGGAGCGGGGACCCUGUGUCCCACAUCUCCAGUCUCGGUCGUGUGGGGACCUCAGCUGUUGCUGAUGUCACUUGUCACAGCCUGUUUGGGCCAGUUCAGUCUCUGUAUUAACAAGGCGAAGUCAGUCCUAUGGAAUAAGGCGCCUGCCAGGCACCAGAGAAGCGCAGGACACACCUGUGUGGAACCAAGUCCUGCCGACCACCAACACCUCACAGAAACCUACUCUGGUAUUCUGUGGGCUCCCUGCAGAUUCCCACUGCAUCAAGAAGCAGGGUCCAGCUGGCUCUCCUCGAGCGCCAGAGCUGUGAGCUCCACGCCCCGCUCAGCCCACUAGGAAUGCGUGUCCAGCCUCGGCCAGUGGCCAGCAGCCUCCUGUUAUUCCACCGCGGUCACUGCCCUGUCACCAGGCAGGCGAAUGAUUCGGAGCAGGAGUGGCAGUAUGUGAGGUGGGCACCCUGACGGACAGCAGGCCCCAGAGGAGGAGUCACGGCCUGGCAAGGACAUGCCCAGGGGCAGGUGUCCUUGAAGACCUGAGAGGUUCCUUAGCCAGAGAAUUUUAAUGAAGAUGCUAAUGCUACAUCAGAUAUCCGAUGUGAUUUUUGUGUGAGGUUAUUCUACUGAAUUGGUUUGUGGAAAUGUUAACGACUAAGGUUUUAACGGGACCAGCAGUAACUAUUUAGUGGUACCAGGGCUGCAAAUGUACAUGAGUUUUCCGCGAAGAAAAAUGUAGGCAACCACCAGUUUCUGUUUGAAAAUAAUGGAGUCAGUGCCUGGUGCUCACCAGCUCUACCGUGGGACUCACCUGGAAGACUGAGCUGUGGGCCUUCGCAGACCAAAGCCUGGACACAUUCAGAUGCACAGCUUCUAGCUGUGCAAUAAAUGAACUCAGUAAGAAAAUACAACCCCAGCAGAGAACUAUGGACAGACAUACUCAUGGAGACAGGGCUGGGGCCGGCCACAGAAGGCCAGCUUUCAUCCAACGAGAUCCAAGACGAAGGGAAAAGGGUUCUGUUUCUCCUAAGGAGAACUAGAAGAUAUCCAUGACGGAAGGAAGGUUCCAGAGGUAUGUAUCUGCCAUCUCCAAAGUCAAGGAGCCUCAGAACUGUAGCCUCUGUAGCUCUGGAGUAAAAUAGGUCAGUGACCAGCUGCUAUCGAAAUCUGCAUUUCAACCCACCGAAGAAGUGGCUGUUUCACAAUCAGAACCUGCUGAAAACGGAACGAGUUGCUUGAGGAGGAGAAUACCUGCAGCAUCUGCUCCAUGUCCUUCUGUGGGAUGCCUCCUUCCUGUCCCCAGCAACUUCUCCAUCCUUGACUGAAUCCGCCUUCUUUCCAGUCACCUGGGAAGGCCCGCCGGUCCUCCUGCACAUCACACCACGGCUCACCCUCACACAUGGCAACCCGUGUGCUCUGGAGAGUACCAAGAGUGAACUCCAGGGCAGGAAUCACAGUGAAAUCUCCAGCGCUUCACCGUAUGGGCAGGAAAACUGCAGCUCCUGGAGGUGGUACGAAGUGCCCAGGGCAGCAGGAGCCUCCCAGUGGGUCAGCCUGACUCCCCGUCUUCAGGUGCGGAUGGCAGCCAACCCGCCCUGACCUCACCCUGGACCAUUCCUCUCGCUGAGGCCCCGGCUUGCUGAGGCCGACUGGUUUCUUGGAAUGUGACAGGAAGAAAUACACAGGCUUUUCUUCACCAAAGAGUCUCGGUGACUCCUUCUGGUGUAGAGGUCUUGACAGAGGCCCUGAUUCAACAAGGAAGUGAGUUCUGCAAAAUAAAGCAAUGCGAGUCCCAAGGAGAUGGGAUUUUCCUUCUCAGCUACCACCUAAAUUGCAUAUUCCAUUUUUUAUUUAUUAAAAAGUUAGUGCAGAUUUGAGCAAAAACUAUUUUCUCAAUUCUGAAACAGAACAAAUCUGGGAUGUCAGAAAUCUCAAACCAGAUCUGUGCCAUGUAUUUGUCUCUCAUUCUGAGUUCUUAAUCAGUGUUAAAUUACUACAGAUGGCAUGGAUAUUGUCAUCCUGUAAACACGAGUUCACCCAGAGACGAGUCAGCCCACAGCCCAUCUGGAGACAGGCAGCAGCCACCACGCGCCAAGUGUGUGUUAGUCUCCUGUGCCCUGCUAAAGCCCACGGCCAUCCUGGAGGUAGACGCUGUUCUCCCGGGUCUUUGAGAGACAAGGGCACCUGAUCGUGUACUUUACAAACCGUGGGGCCAGGGCUUGAGUGCAGAGCUUGGGAGCUCUUUCUUCUCUUUGCAUCUCUUCCCAAAGAAAGCCCCAGAGGUCACCAACAGACUGUGGGGAGUUUGCCGAAGGGGAGCGUGUCUACCUUCAGAAAGGAGACCAAGGAGGAUAGGACAUUAGGAGUGGAGAAGAAUGUCCAAGUGUCCAUCAAUCCAAGCAGAGAAAACAUGCCCCAGGCAUGGAGGAGACAAGUGGGGAGAGGUGUCCAAGUCCAUCAGCAAAACAGGCUGAGCCAGACCUCACCUUGAAGGGGGCCACUGCCCACAUCACCAGACCUGUUCCUCACUGGGGUCCUCUGUAGGAGGUGGCCAGGACCAACAGGGCAAUGGUUUGAAGUAGGAGCUGUGGGUAUCUGUCAGCUGUGGGCCCACAGCCAAGGCACACAGCUCUCCUGGGAACCGGCAGCCCAAGCCUCACUGCCACCCGGCUGUCACCGUGCACCUCGGCUGUCACUGCGCACCUUGUGGGCAAGGCGCUUAGAGGCCUCAGAACUAUGUUUUUAAAAUGCAAAUUAUUUUCUAGAGAUUGCAAACUUCAGAGUUCUAAAACCAGUAAGAGCAAGCCGACUUCUCCCACCAACUCUAUUCAGAUUCAUGGAUUCAAAGUUGGAGUUCACGUUUUCUUUCUUAUUUUCUUUUUUCCUUACUUUGCACUCUCUUCCUUAUUUCUUCUUCCUUUUCUUCCUCAGUUUUAAAUGACUUUUUAAGUAGACUCUGUGUGGAGGUUAUGAAGGAGCUUGAAGAAGUCAGUUACCCACGUGGAGGAACUGGGGAGACGGAACAUGUGUCCCUACAGUGACUCUAGUAGCCAUGCGGUAGGUCUCCUGCCUCUUCAAGAUGUGUCACCUUCUCUCAAAUCCAAUCAUCUCUCCACUUCUACUUUGUUUUGAUUUUUUUCAAGUUUCCUGCCUUCCGAAGUCUUCCAUUUUUCUAAAGCCAUUGUUUAUCACCUUUGACCAUUCUCAUCUUCAUUUCUCAAUGAUCACUUCCAUUAUUUCAAGUUCUUUUCCAAGCUCUGUAACCACAUUUCUGAAUCUAUUUAAUUCAGUUUAAUCUCUGCUAACCUAAGUCAGAAUAGUUGUUGCCUCUGAUAAGAGGUCGGCACUCAUGGAACAUUCUAGGUCUUGAUCUUGAUGAGGUGAGGUUCAGGGUGGACAUUUGCCGUCACUUAGUGAGCUAUGUCCUUAGGGGUUGGCUGUUUCACCACAUGUAUAUAAAUUGUACCUUAAUAAAGUACUGCUGGGGGUGGGGCAAGAAUCGUUCAAGCAUGACCCUGGCAGUUCGAUCCCCAGCACAGUCAUCUGCUUCUGCUAAAUAUUUUAUUUUUCCAUAAAAGGUAGGGACCUAAAUAUACUGGAUGAGGCUCCUGUGGAGAUUAACCGAAGCUCUAGUCUCUGUAGCAUCAAGGUAGGGCUCCUUCAGGGACUUCCCGAUCUCCGGCAAGGGAAGUCCAGUGCCCCUUUGAACCACUGUAAGUGGUUCCUCUUUAAUCGCACAAGCCCACGGGUUUAAUGAAAAGUGCCCAAGUUCAGGACAGGCCUUUCCACGCGUAUAUUCUGCCUCCUUGUCUGGAGAAUAGUCCCCUCCCAAAAGGUUGAGGAGACAUUCUUGGAAUCUAUGUUCGGUGGCUUUUAGCACCAAGCCCAGCUAGCUGAGCUCAACUACUACAGAAAUUCUAGCUGCAGUCCUGCAUGUAACCUAGGGGUCCAAGGUCCGUGAUGCUCACUCUCCCCUGACCCCUGGAUCAGUGACCCUCCACUCUAGAGAAGCUGCAGUACACACUUGGGUACAGAUCGGUAAUGAGAAAACCAGAGUUGGAGAUGAAGUGUGAUUCUCUGGGGUGGGGCCCUUGCAAGCUGCAGGCCUUCUACAGCAGAGAAAGCCCCCUUUAGUGUUAGCAGCCGAUCACAGCAGGGUGUCACCUCCGAGGAUCCCAGAGUCACAGGCCACAAAGCUGGAUUCCUCGGCACUACCCCUGAGUGAUGUGCUGCAGCCCUAACUGGUAGGCCAGACUCUCCCGUGUUGGAACAGAGGUAGGGACUCACCACAAACCUCUUUCAGGGUUCUCUGCUUGCAAAUCAGAAGGAUGGAAUUCACAGGACAAUAAAGUCAAGAGUGACAGAAGUAGGAUUUAUUCAAGUGUGGAGAACAGAAAAAACUAUGGCAAUAGCAAGAGAGGAUCGCGACAGGGAUUAUCACCUGCGGCUGCUGGUCUCAGGGUUUAUACAGCCCUUGGGUCAACACUAUUGGUCCAAAGUUAUAAUAAGAGUUGGGAAAAAUACUGAUGCUCUUGGUACAAAGUUCUGCUAAUCAGCGUUUGGAAAAGUACCAGCCCUGAGCUGACCUUCCAGGCAGGUCUGCCCCACUUCCAUGGUCCUACCCCUGUGGGGGGCGGGAGGUGGAGGUUGUUGGAUGGUGGAUGCUUGGGGGUUCUAAGCUGCAGUGCUAUGCAGAGUGGGCAUCUGCACUGGGCCUGAGCCAGGCUGCCCGGGCCCUGGCUCUCCUAGGCCCUGGCCCUCUGCACCUCAGGCCCGUGCUGGCAUGGCGGGCUCCACAUAUCCUAGGCCAGUGCCAACCCCAAGGACUCCAGCCUAGGCUGUUGCUCCACAGCUCCAGGGCAAGGACCUGGUUCACUGAUGUUGGGGUGACCAGCUAGUCCUGCUAUGCCCAAGACUUUCCCAGUUUUAGCAUUAAACGUGGCACAUCGCAGGAACACUCAGUCCCAGGCAAACCAAGAUUGUAUGUUGGUCCUCUUCUCCAGAAUCCUUAGGGAACUGGGUCUCCCCUGCUAAGCUAAAUUUUCUUAUUAGCCAUAGAAUCUUAAAAUGAUUACUGAUCUUUUUCUCUGAUGUAGAAGUAACACAAACUUGUACAAAAUUAUAAAGAAAAAAAAUCACCAACAAUACCUCCCACCUUGCUGGGUAAAUAUGCGGUGCCAUGAUUUUCCACCGAGCACUGCGUCAUGAAAACCUUUCUCACGAUGAGACCUACCUCCCAAGGUGUGUUAGUAUCUGCCUGGGAGCCUCUGUGAACCAAUGCACCAUAAUUUUAACUGUUCCUCUUUGGCUGGACUUUGGUUCACUCCCCCUGACACUAUCUCUUCCUGCUUUUAAUGAAUGCUGUGAUUAACAUCCUCGGGCACAAAUCUUCUCUGUAGCACUUCGGGCAUUUUUUUUUUUAACCGCUAUCUUCUGUCUACUUGCUUCUCCUUUCUUUGGGUCCUGAGGAGUUUGCUCUGAUGCAGGGAAGUCCUGUGAACGCCAGGACCCUUGGUCAGGGUACUCCCACCUGCCCUCAGGUCACAGACACACUGAGAAUUCAGCUGAGGCUUGGUAGUGGUCCUAGUCUGAGCUCAAGGCGAGCACUCCGCAGUGUCUAGGGUAGGAUCUUCAUCCUGUGAGCUCAGGCAGACCUGAGAUGGGGGAGCAGUUGUGAAUGGGAGGAGUAGCGAAGGACCAAGCAGGAAGGAAGCUGGGAUCCCAACCUGUGCUUCAACCUCAGCAGCUUCACAUUAAGCUACUUUUCAUGGGUAUUAUCUCUAGUCCUCUUAAGAACCUUGCAAAGGGUAUUCUCAGUGUUAAUUGGGGGGAAAAUAAAAGGUCCAGAGAGGGCAGGUGUCUGCUUCAUCCACUAAGUGAAACUUCUGGAUCCAAGGCCGGUUUUCCUGCUGCUCUGGAUGGACGGCAGCCUGUGCCCAGCUGCUGGAAGAGGAGGUGGAGGGUUCUGUGCUCUAGAUCCCAAUUCCAGAUCUGGGCAUUCAGUACACUGGGGAGUAAGGGGAAAAGGAUCAAGUGAUGAAGUGGGAGCUAUAAAAAGUCCUAGAAAGUUACAAUCGUCCCUUGCAUCUUGGAGCACUGUCCAGUUGGUGGACAGAGCCACCCAAGAAAGCAUCUUAGAGAAAUGAGCCAGAACACUGUGUUUCAGUUUGGGGAACUUGGCCUUAGGGUCAUUCAGGGGUCCAGGGCUGUUGAGGAGAAAUACCCUGCAGGAUGGACUGGGGAAACACUGGGGCAGAGUGGGGCUGGCCUUAUAAGGAGUGGGAAGAGCAGGAGUCAUGUCCCUGUUGAAUUCCAAAAACUGACCACACCUGAGCAUCCCAGGCAGAAGGCAAGGCCCAGGGCAGCCUGCAGUGGUGACCCUCUAGGCAGUGGACCUGCCCAUGCGCAGAGGCCAGCCUCACGCUGGGGCUGUGGGAGAGUCAUCCGACCCCAAAGAAGGCCCUGGCAUGAGCUGGGCCAGACGCAGGACCUCGCCAGCUGGAGAGCCUUCAGGAGGCGUCUGUGACAGUCCAGGCCUGAGGGUAAGGGUGACGCGGAGGACAAUGUGGUGGGGGAGAGCCCUGAUGUCUGCCCUGAGGCACCACAUAGCCAGGGUCUGGGAAGUCAGCCGGGGUGCCCAGGAAUCAUGGCUACUCAUCUGAACCCGGGUCUUGGAGCCAGGCUUAGCUCCCCAGCCAGUGAGUGAGGUGACAGGAGGCCAGGGCAGGAACCUGAGGGUGAGGGGUCGGUCAAGGUGUGGACUCUGCGGGUCUGCUCAGGGCUGACCUGUGCACGGCGGUCACCACGGCUGAGCCACUCCUACUGGGUCUGUGGUCACCUUUCGUCCUGUUAGCCCCAUGUCCCAGGCCAACUCCCUUCUCUGUUGAUAUUCUUCAAAUCACUCGAGGAAGGUGCUUCUUGCCAAAACGUCAAACACCAUUUCCCGAAGUAAAAAAGUACGAGUGCCCUUCACCUUCCUACACAUAUAAUUAAAAAAAAAUCAAUUUGGUGCAUAUCUUUCCAUGUAUGUUUCUAUGUAUUUUAAUAAAAAUAUGAUAAGU